UUAUUAUUUAUAUAGCGCCAUCAGAUUCUGUAGCGCUGUAAAUGAAUAAGUAUGAUGACAAUACGCAGCUAAAAUCGCUGCCUAAGUAGUCGAGAUGUACAUCCAAUAAAUCUAAAUGCCUGGUAGCUAAGUAGUACGAUAGUGAAAGCUGCACAGCCCCUGACAAGCGUUUCGCUAGUUCAGCUCAUCAGAGGGGAACAGCACCUACGACAUUGCCGG